rnacentral:lncRNA from 10 species
CUUUCAAGAAAGAGCUGCAGGCCUUCCUGGAGCAGGUGAACCGCAUUGGGGAUGGCCUAUCCCCCUUGCCCCACCUCACAGAGUCCUCUAGCUUCCUCUCCACUGUGACUUCCGUGUCCCGGGACUCCCCCAUCGGGAACCUGGGGAAGGAGCUGGGCCCAGACUUGCAGUCCAGACUGAAAGAGCAGCUGGAGUGGCAGCUCGGGCCGGCCCGAGGGGACGAGCGGGAGAGCCUGCGCCUCCGAGCCGCGCGGGAGCUGCACCGCCGCGCAGACGGGGACACCGGGAGCCACGGGCUGGGAGGCCAGACCUGCUUCAGCCUGGAGGUCCUUAUUGUGUAACCUGGAGCAGUGAUAAGUUGUCACCAUCAUGAAUGCAUCGCAUAGCUUCAGAAACUGGGAGUGAUUUGGGAGAGAGAAGCAUACUUAGUUGAAGCAAACCAAAUACUGAGGAGCAAUAAAGCUUCACAAGAAGUAGAUUAGCAGAGUGAGCUGGUGCCAUGUGACAGCACAGGAUCUCCAAACAAUGCAGCUCAGAAGGGAACAGCAGGUCUUCAGAUGAAGUCUCUCAUUCUGCG